rnacentral:rRNA from 1 species
UACAGAGGGUGCGAGCGUUGUCCGGAAUUACUGGGCGUAAAGCGUGCGCAGGCGGCUAUCCAAGUCAGUGGUGAAAGCCCGGAGCUCAACUCCGGAAUUGCCAUUGAAACUGUUUAGCUUGAGGACGAGAGAGGUGAGUGGAAUUCCCAGUGUAGAGGUGAAAUUCGUAGAUAUUGGGAAGAACACCGGUGGCGAAGGCGGCUCACUGGCUCGUUUCUGACGCUCAGGCACGACAGCGUGGGGAUCAAACAGG